rfam:Chlamydomonas reinhardtii strain CC-503 cw92 mt+ CHLREscaffold_11 genomic scaffold, whole genome shotgun sequence.
GGUCCUGUGGUCUAGUGGUUAGGACAGCAGACUCUGAAUCUGCUAACCUGAGUUCAAAUCUCAGCAGGACCU